AUUUUUGUCUUAUUUCAUUUGACAUUUAUUGCGUGUCCAUUUGCCAGGUCCGGAGGUAUAUGCUGGUGAUGCAAAGUUGAGUAAGAUGUGGGCCUUGCCCUCGGAACAUUCAGACUGCAGCUUGGAGGAAAUGUCUGCUCUAGACACAAGUGGAAGCUGCAUACAUCAUGCCAACUCAGAAGAGAACAAAGGAAUUUGUCAAGAGAUAAUGUCAGACUCUUCAGACGCAUUCCAAUUGAUUAUUGCAUUUGGAAGAUUUCUAGACAUU
rnacentral:lncRNA from 1 species